AGUGAACGCUGGCGGUAGGCCUAACACAUACAAGUCGAACGGCAGCACAGUAAGAGCUUGCUCUUACGGGUGGCGAGUGGCGGACGGGUGAGGAAUACAUCGGAAUCUACUUUUUCGUGGGGGAUAACGUAGGGAAACUUACGCUAAUACCGCAUACGACCUACGGGUGGAAGCAGGGGAUCUUCGGACCUUGCGCGAUUGAAUGAGCCGAUGUCGGAUUAGCUAGUUGGCGGGGUAAAGGCCCACCAAGGCGACGAUCCGUAGCUGGUCUGAGAGGAUGAUCAGCCACACUGGAACUGAGACACGGUCCAGACUCCUACGGGAGGCAGCAGUGGGGAAUAUUGGACAAAGGGCGCAAGCCUGAUCCAGCCAUACCGCGUGGGUGAAGAAGGCCUUCGGGUUGUAAAGCCCUUUUGUUGGGAAAGAAAAGCAGCAGGUUAAUACCCCGCUGUUCUGACGGUACCCAAAGAAUAAGCACCGGCUAACUUCGUG
rnacentral:rRNA from 1 species